CCUACGGGUGGCAGCAGUGAGGAAUAUUGGUCAAUGGACGAGAGUCUGAACCAGCCAAGUAGCGUGAAGGAUGACUGCCCUAUGGGUUGUAAACUUCUUUUAUAUGGGAAUAAAAUGUUCCACGUGUGGGCUUUUGUAUGUACCAUAUGAAUAAGGAUCGGCUAACUCCGUGCCAGCAGCCGCGGUAAUACGGAGGAUCCGAGCGUUAUCCGGAUUUAUUGGGUUUAAAGGGAGCGUAGGUGGAUUGUUAAGUCAGUUGUGAAAGUUUGCGGCUCAACCGUAAAAUUGCAGUUGAAACUGGCAGUCUUGAGUACAGUAGAGGUAGGCGGAAUGCGUGGUGUAGCGGUGAAAUGCUUAGAUAUCACGAAGAACUCCGAUUGCGAAGGCAGCUCACUGGACUGAAACUGACACUGAGGCUCGAAAGUGUGGGUAUCAAACAGGAUUAGAUACCCCGGUAGUC
rnacentral:rRNA from 1 species